GGAAACACGUAGAAGACGGGUGAACUCAUUCACCAAAACCCCCUUUUUCAGUUAUAAACCAAAACCCAUUCUUUUUUUCUUAACAAAAAGUAUAUACCCUUUUUGAAUUUCGUUCGUCGGCGGCCGGAGUUUCCACCGGAAACACGUCGGAGACGAGUAAACCCACCUACCUCAUUUCACUUCCAUUUAAACCCAUCAAUUUUUUUUUCAAAAAUCGAACACCCUUUUCGAUCUUGCUUCAGAAAAGUUGCUAAAUUUCGCAGAACCAGUGUUUUAUAAUGGGGACAGAAGAAAAAUGUGCUGUUUUGUAUGGUAAAUAUGAGCUCGGACGAGUUUUGGGUCAAGGUUCUUUCGCUAAAGUAUACCAUGCUCGUAACGUGGUAACAGGGGAGAAUAUAGCAAUGAAAGUUGUUGGAAAAGAGAAGGUGAUAAAAGUAGGAAUGAUGGAGCAAAUCAAAAGAGAAAUCUCCGUCAUGAAAAUGGUGAAACAUCCAAACAUAGUCGAGCUUCACGAAGUUAUGGCAAGCAAAACGAAGAUUUACUUCGCCAUGGAAUACGUUAAAGGCGGUGAAUUGUUCGAAAAAGUAGCUAAAGGUAAGCUUAGAGAAGACAAUGCUCGAGGGUAUUUCCAGCAGUUGAUUUCUGCAAUUGAUUUUUGUCAUAGCCGUGGUGUUUAUCACAGAGAUUUAAAGCCUGAGAAUUUGCUGUUAGAUGAAGAAGGCAAUCUUAAGGUAACCGAUUUCGGACUUAGUGCUUUUACUGAUCAUUUAAGGCAAGAUGGUUUAUUGCAUACAACUUGUGGUACUCCUGCUUAUGUUGCCCCUGAAGUACUUGGUAAUCAUGGAUAUGAUGGUGCAACAUCAGAUAUUUGGUCAUGUGGAGUGAUUCUUUA
rnacentral:misc_RNA from 1 species